rnacentral:rRNA from 1 species
GAUGAACGCUGGCGGCGUGCUUAACACAUGCCAGUCGAACGGAAAGGCCCAAGCUUGCUUGGGUACUCGAGUGGCGAACGGGUGAGUAACACGUGGGUGAUCUGCCCUCAACUUGGGGAUAACCUGGGGAAACUGGGCCUAAUACCGGAUAGGCCCCCUUUUUGCAUGGGGGGGGGAAAGUUUUUCGGUGGGGGAUGGGCUCGCGGCCUAUCAGCUUGUUGGUGGGGUAAUGGCCUACCAAGGCGUCGACGGGUAGCCGGCCUGAGAGGGUGUACGGCCACAUUGGGACUGAGAUACGGCCCAGACUCCUACGGGAGGCAGCAGUGGGGAAUAUUGCACAAUGGGCGCAAGCCUGAUGCAGCGACGCCGCGUGGGGGAUGACGGCCUUCGGGUUGUAAACCGCUUUCGCUAGGGACGAAGCGCGAGUGACGGUACCUGGAGAAGAAGCACCGGCUAACUACGUG